AAUGAACGCUGGCGGCGUGCUUAACACAUGCAAGUCGAACGAGAAAGGGAUUGCUUGCAGUCCCGAGUAGAGUGGCGCACGGGUGAGUAACACGUAGAUAAUCUGCCUUCAAGCCUGGGAUAACUAUUCGAAAGGGUAGCUAAUACCGGAUAAAGUCGAUCUACACAAGUAGAUUGAUGAAAGAUUGCCUCUUCUUGAAAGCAAUUGUUUGGAGAUGAGUUUGCGUACCAUUAGCUUGUUGGUGGGGUAAAGGCCUACCAAGGCAACGAUGGUUAGCUGGUCUGAGAGGAUGAUCAGCCACACUGGAACUGGAACACGGUCCAGACUCCUACGGGAGGCAGCAGUGAGGAAUUUUGCGCAAUGGGGGCAACCCUGACGCAGCAACGCCGCGUGAGUGAAGAAGGCCUUUGGGUCGUAAAGCUCUGUCAACAGGGAAGAAGUUACAAUUGUUUAAUAGAUGGUUGUAUUGACGGUACCUGUGGAGGAAGCGCCGGCUAACUCCGUG
rnacentral:rRNA from 1 species